rnacentral:rRNA from 1 species
UACAGAGGUCUCAAGCGUUGUUCGGAUUCAUUGGGCGUGAAGGGUGCGUAGGCGGCGCGGUAAGUCGGGUGCGAAAUCUCGGGGCUUAACUCCGAAACUGCAUUCGAUACUGCCGUGCUUGAGGACUGGAGAGGAGACUGGAAUUUACGGUGUAGCGGUGAAAUGCGUAGAUAUCGUAAGGAAGACCAGUGGCGAAGGCGGGUCUCUGGACAGUUCCUGACGCUGAGGCACGAAGGCCAGGGGAGCAAACGGG